rnacentral:rRNA from 1 species
UACGGAGGGUGCAAGCGUUAUCCGGAUUUACUGGGGUUAAAGGGUGCGUAGGUGGGUAAGUAAGUCAGUGGUGAAAUCUCCGGGCUUAACCCGGAAACUGCCAUUGAUACUAUUUAUCUUGAAUACUUUGGAGGUAAGCGGAAUAUGUCAUGUAGCGGUGAAAUGCUUAGAUAUGACAUAGAACACCAAUUGCGAAGGCAGCUCACUACACAAUCAUUGACGCUGAGGCACGAAAGCGUGGGGAUCAAACAGG